rnacentral:rRNA from 1 species
GGACUACAGGGGUAUCUAAUCCCGUUCGCUCCCCUGGCUUUCGCACCUGAGCGUCAGUGACUUCCCAGGAGACUGCCUUCGCCUUUGGUGUUCCUCCGGAUAUCUACGUAUUUCACCACUCCACCCGGAAUUCCGUCUCCCUCUGAAGCCCUCAAGUUCCCCAGUUUGCCCACGCCUUCCUCGGUUGAGCCGAGGACUGUCAGUUGACACUUAAGAAACCGCCUGCGUGCGCUUUACGCCCAAUAAAUCCGGACAACGCUUGCCCCCUACGUAUUACCGCGGCGGCUGGCAC